rnacentral:rRNA from 1 species
UGGCGGACGGGUGAGUAAUGCUGGGAAACUGCCUGAUGGAGGGGGAGUAACUACUGGAAACGGUAGCUAAUACCGCAUAACGUCGCAAGACCAAAGAGGGGGACCUUCGGGCCUCUUGCCAUCGGAUGUGCCCAGAUGGGAUUAGCUAGUAGGUGGGGUAACGGCUCACCUAGGCGACGAUCCCUAGCUGGUCUGAGAGGAUGACCAGCCACACUGGAACUGAGACACGGUCCAGACUCCUACGGGAGGCAGCAUG